CGGAGAGUUUGAUCCUGGCUCAGGACGAACGCUGGCGGCGUGCUUAACACAUGCAAGUGGAGCGACGAACCAGGGCUUGCCCUGGGGCAGAGCCGCGAACGGGUGAGUAACACGUGGGCAAUCUGCCCUGACGAUCGGGACAACCCGGGGAAACCCGGGCUAAUACCGGAUGUGCUCUCGGAUCAUGAGAUCUGCGAGGAAAGGAAGCUUCGGCCUCCGCGUCGGGAUGAGCCUGCGGCCCAUUAGCUAGUUGGUGGGGUAAUGGCCUACCAAGGCAACGAUGGGUAGCUGGUCUGAGAGGACGAUCAGCCACACUGGGACUGAGACACGGCCCAGACUCCUACGGGAGGCAGCAGUGGGGAAUCUUGCGCAAUGAGCGACAGCUUGACGCAGCAACGCCGCGUGGGGGAAGACGGCCUUCGGGUUGUAAACCCCUUUCAGUUGGGACGAAGCUCGGCCUGUGAACAGCAGGCUGGAGUGACGGUACCUUCAAAAGAAGCCCCGGCUAACUACGUGCCAGCAGCCGCGGUAAUACGUAGGGGGCAAGCGUUGUCCGGAAUCAUUGGGCGUAAAGAGUGUGUAGGCGGCCUUAUAAGUCUGUUGUGAAAGUCCAAGGCUCAACCUUGGAAUGCCGAUGGAUACUGUAAGGCUAGAGUCCGGAAGAGGCGGGUGGAACUCCUGGUGUAGCGGUGAAAUGCGCAGAUAUCAGGAAGAACACCAACGGCGAAGGCAGCCCGCUG
rnacentral:rRNA from 1 species